UACAGAGGGGGCAAGCGUUGUUCGGAAUUACUGGGCGUAAAGGGCGCGUAGGCGGCCUUCUAAGUCGAACGUGAAAUCCCCGGGCUCAACUCGGGAACUGCGUCCGAUACUGGCGGGCUUGAAUCCGGGAGAGGGAUGCGGAAUUCCAGGUGUAGCGGUGAAAUGCGUAGAUAUCUGGAGGAACACCGGUGGCGAAGGCGGCAUCCUGGACCGGCAUUGACGCUGAGGCGCGAAAGCUAGGGAGCAAACGGG
rnacentral:rRNA from 1 species